UACGUAGGUGGCAAGCGUUGUCCGGAAUUAUUGGGCGUAAAGCGCGCGCAGGCGGUUCUUUAAGUCUGAUGUGAAAGCCCACGGCUCAACCGUGGAGGGUCAUUGGAAACUGGGGGACUUGAGUGCAGGAGAGAAGAGUGGAAUUCCACGUGUAGCGGUGAAAUGCGUAGAGAUGUGGAGGAACACCGUGGCGAAGGCGCUCUU
rnacentral:rRNA from 1 species